AGCCUGUGAUGAAUUCAUUAUAUUUCUGACACCUACUAUGAGUAUUGCUAAGCAAUACAUGAUUACAGUUGUGAUCUGAGGCUC